AACACUCCUUGUGUGGGGUCAGUCCUAGAAAUGGCGACGCUGCUCUCCGAAGAUAGGAAAGAAAAGGACCUCAUUCCAUUGAGCCAUUGACUGAAAUAUUUUCUCAACAAAGUUGAACUGAGCUGAAACUGUGUGAAUCAUGGCAAUACAGUGAAAGACGGUGAUUUACUGCUUUUGAGGGCAUGCAUGUAUAUGAUUAACAGAUGGAAGUGCAGGACUCCAAGAUUUACUUCCUUCCCUUUCCAGCAGAAUUACCUGAGAGGAGUAAAAUCUACUGGUGGAGUCACUCCAUUAUUCCUAUCUGUGGAGAUCUAGAUCUUGAUUGGAAAGUUUCUGAGAAAAUCUUCAGCUUAGACUUGAAGGUCAGCUUUACCAACUGAAGGAUCUGAGUUUAUUGCUCAACCACAUCUAAUUUGAUGUCCUCUGCAGAUUUAAAAUGUGUGCCUUCUUUUCCAUUACCAAGUCAUCCCUGGGUUACUACUGAACAUCCUUCUCAAUUCCCCCCGACCCAUGGAUGGCUGUUCUCCAUUGUCUAUUUCACUAGAUGUCCUCAAAACAAACAGAAGAAGGAAGUGGCUAAUGGAGCUGUGGAGUCCAAGUGUGACUGCCAAGAGGAAUCCAGCAAAGCCAAAAAGCCCGAGCAUGUAGCCCUGCCCGAAGCCCGCCACACGCGUGGAAAACCCAGAGGAAAUGAGUGAGGAUCAAUGGGAAGAAGGGAGCCAGCCAGGAAGUUGAAGAUUUGUCCAGGAGCAGAUAGCUGAAGAGAGAGAGAAAGAAGAGAGAACGGCUUACAGCUCAGGUCCUCUCUCCAUGCUUAGGAACUACUACAAAUGCUACUGCCUUCAGCCUCAUUUUGUUUCCACCUGGAAACCACAUGUGUACUUUAUUUGCAACCGUAUGGGGUACCAAGGAAGACAACCAAUGGCAGAGGUCACAUGUGCAAGCAAGAUGGGAGUCUGGAGAGCCUCACGCUAAAUCACGAGUGCUCAGCUCUCUUCUCUUUGUAAGGGCAACUGGGUCAUAGCUGCCAGCAUAGAGCUGCUCUGUCCACAGCCCUAAAAUCUAAUACCUAGAACAAUAAAUGCACUUAAGCACAUCAAACUCUCUCAACUGGUGAUGAAAUCUGUCACUAGCGAAGGGACUUGUCCCAACGGAGCUGAACACCUGCCCCUGCACCCUGACAAUGUAUAAGAAACAAGCACCACUGUGGAUGCAGCCCCAGAAGCCUAGUGUCAUGGGGCUGCGAGGCCCUGCUUCAGGUUGGGGGCCUGGGGAGGGGCUGGUACCUCUCCACUUCCUGCAGCUCCUGUUCCUCUGGCUCCUGGUGAAAAUCUGGGUCUGGACCCAUAGCAAGUGAGGGCCACAAGGCUUCACAUUCUGAGAUGCAGCUAGAAGAAACAGCUGGUAUAAUAUAUGGUCAUGCACUACCUAACUACAUUUCCUCAACAUGGGACUGCAUCUAUGACAAUGGGUCUGUCCUAUGAGAUUAUAAUAAAGCUGAAAAAUUUCUAUCACCUAGUCAUAUCAUAGCCAUAGUAAUGUCAAGGCCCAAGGUAUUACAUGUCUGUGGUGAUGCCAGUGUAAACAAACUUGCCACACCGCCAGUCAUAUGAGUAGAGCACAAACAAUUAUAUAAUACAUAGUACUUGAUCAAAAUACACAACUAUAUUUCUGGUUUAUGUAUUUACUAUACUAUACUUUUAAUCAUUAUUUUAGAGUGUACUCCUUCUGCAUAUAUGUGUCAACUGUAACACAACCUCAGGCAGGUCCUUCAGGAGGUAUUCCAGAGGAAGGCAAUGUAAUCACAGAUGACAGCUCUAUACGUGUUAUCGCCCCUGAAGACCUACGGGGACAAGAUGUGGAGGUAGAAGACAGUGAUAUUGA